rnacentral:rRNA from 1 species
AACCGAGAUUCCCCCAGUAGCGGCGAGCGAACGGGGAGCAGCCCAGAGCCUGAAUCAGUAUGUGUGUUAGUGGAAGCGUCUGGAAAGGCGCGCGAUACAGGGUGACAGCCCCGUACACAAAAAUGCACAUGCUGUGAGCUCGAUGAGUAGGGCGGGACACGUGGUAUCCUGUCUGAAUAUGGGGGGACCAUCCUCCAAGGCUAAAUACUCCUGACUGACCGAUAGUGAACCAGUACCGUGAGGGAAAGGCGAAAAGAACCCCGGCGAGGGGAGUGAAAAAGAACCUGAAACCGUGUACGUACAAGCAGUGGGAGCACGCUUAGGCGUGUGACUGCGUACCUUUUGUAUAAUGGGUCAGCGACUUAUAUUCUGUAGCAAGGUUAACCGAAUAGGGGAGCCGAAGGGAAACCGAGUCUUAACUGGGCGUUAAGUUGCAGGGUAUAGACCCGAAACCCGGUGAUCUAGCCAUGGGCAGGUUGAAGGUUGGGUAACACUAACUGGAGGACCGAACCGACUAAUGUUGAAAAAUUAGCGGAUGACUUGUGGCUGGGGGUGAAAGGCCAAUCAAACCGGGAGAUAGCUGGUUCUCCCCGAAAGCUAUUUAGGUAGCGCCUCGUGAAUUCAUCUCCGGGGGUAGAGCACUGUUUCGGCAAGGGGGUCAUCCCGACUUACCAACCCGAUGCAAACUGCGAAUACCGGAGAAUGUUAUCACGGGAGACACACGGCGGGUGCUAACGUCCGUCGUGAAGAGGGAAACAACCCAGACCGCCAGCUAAGGUCCCAAAGUCAUGGUUAAGUGGGAAACGAUGUGGGAAGGCCCAGACAGCCAGGAUGUUGGCUUAGAAGCAGCCAUCAUUUAAAGAAAGCGUAAUAGCUCACUGGUCGAGUCGGCCUGCGCGGAAGAUGUAACGGGGCUAAACCAUGCACCGAAGCUGCGGCAGCGACGCUGAUGCGUUGUUGGGUAGGGGAGCGUUCUGUAAGCCUGCGAAGGUGUGCUGUGAGGCAUGCUGGAGGUAUCAGAAGUGCGAAUGCUGACAUAAGUAACGAUAAAGCGGGUGAAAAGCCCGCUCGCCGGAAGACCAAGGGUUCCUGUCCAACGUUAAUCGGGGCAGGGUGAGUCGACCCCUAAGGCGAGGCCGAAAGGCGUAGUCGAUGGGAAACAGGUUAAUAUUCCUGUACUUGGUGUUACUGCGAAGGGGGGACGGAGAAGGCUAUGUUGGCCGGGCGACGGUUGUCCCGGUUUAAGCGUGUAGGCUGGUUUUCCAGGCAAAUCCGGAAAAUCAAGGCUGAGGCGUGAUGACGAGGCACU